AAGCUGGAUCCACCUGCGGGAUCUGCUCUCUCGGGGCUGCGCAGUCCUGCUGAGGCUGCUGCGCCGAAAACCCGGAAGACUUAUCAAGAGCGACAGUGACUCAAUGCGCCGCCUGCUUGCUAAGUAGAAAACAUACAUGCAAGGCAACAGUAGCCUGCAGUCUUGGACUCCACUCUGAGUGUGCGUCUUCUCAUCACUCUCGAACUCCCUCGUCAUGGCUGCUAUACUGCCCGAGGACCUGAAGACAACCACACAAACGCGCCUGCAGGUCUGUCAGAGAGAGUGACAUGGAGAGAAAGAACACGGGAGGAAAUGGAGUCUUCACAGAUAUGGCCGUGUUGUUGUAGCUGCAUCGAAAAUGGAACUUCCUUCUCCUGUCUGAUAACAUUGUUUCUGACUUUUUUUUUUGUCUCGUUGCUCCUGCACCGUCCAGCGUUCACGGCCAGUACGUCAACGACACAUGAGUACAGAUUUCAGCUUCCUUGUGUUGCCACGUCAAUCAAAUCUGCCCUGGGCCUUCAGAAUCAGCAGUACUGGCCAAUGUAACUUCUUUAGCAAAGGGACUGUUUCUUUAACCAAUCAGAUUUUAAAGCUGACCUCGAAAGGCCAGUGAGAUGACCCUCGAUGAUGUCAGCAAUUUUCCAUCUUUUGACUGGUUGGGCAGAGCAAGCCAAGUUCGCCGAAUAUUGAUUCUGACCUGCUCCAGAUGAUGUACAUGGCAACGUUGCAUGCUCAUGGGUUACUGCUGUGACACUUAAAAAAGCGCUACAACCUUACGCUCACCGUGCUAGCACUUCGACGUCUUUGUGAGCUCACAACCCUCUCGAGCUGUGAUGACACAAACAGGACAAAGGAGCUGCUGCGGGAUACACACUAUCUUUCUUUCUUUCUUUUCUUUUUUUUUUUGCAUGGCUUUGUCAAAAAGAAAAAUCUGAAUUUUCUGCUCAGAGAGAAAGAAAGCACCAGGGCAGGAUUUUCAUGCGGAAAACUCUACAGUUAACCCCCGCUAUGUCACAGUUCGUCUUUUGCAGAUUUUUAAGCAAUCAUUUUGUUACGGAUGUAGAGUUGCAUGCCUUUAGUUUGGUGCCACGUUGUGCCGCAACAUGCCAGAAAGUAUUGCAUUAGAAGACAUGCAGUGGAACAGAAGUAGAAGAAGUAGAGCACGAAGAAGAGGCAGAGAGGUCACCAACUCAACUCCAGUAAUAGUUAUUGUUUCCACAGAGCAGAAGAAAAUAUUUCCCUAUAGGUAAUUUUGUGUGCUAUUUUUGUAUGGUUUGCUGCUCUGUAUGCAUUAAAGUAGCAGUUGUUUGAAGGUUCAUAAUUAUCGUAACAAAGAUGCCAAUUUACCUUUGCUCAUAUGUGGUGUUUUGCACAAUACCGUUAGCAUUAAGCUAGUGGACUUCCAUUAUUAUAUGGUGUGACUGAAUAUUUUUGGUGUUUAAAUAUAGAGUCUUUAAUUCUCUUUUAUUUAUGUACCAGUUUUAUAGUAAAUUUCAACUGGGAGUCUCAAGUUAACAACUUGAAGCAAGCACACGUUGCCUCUUAUCCCAUAGUCUCAAUUUAUUGCAGAUCUGGUGCUAAGGAAUACUUUAAAAAGUGUAUUCCAAUAAGUGUAAAUGUGUUUUAAUACGUUUAAAUAUGUUUAAGGUGUGUGGGAGGGGUAAAAUUAUAGAUUUUAUUUUUAAUAUGGUCUAUUUUUCGAAGCAAUAAAGGGGUUCGCUGUCAUGGAAAUGAUUAAAGCUCAGACAAUGUUCUGUUGACUGUUUUUUAAUUGAUAUUUUUGCAUCAUAUGCUGCUGAUAGAUUGAUUUACUUGCAUCCUUUUUGAACAUAUUCCAGUUGAGCGUAACGAUCGCUGUGUCCCACAUAAUAUAUGUUCACACCAUGUGGAACCAAUUGUUUCCCAAUAAAAGAAACAAAAAAAACCCCAGCAAUGUGGAUGAUUAAGAAGGUGUCUGCUUGUGUGCGUUUAUGGAGUGUCAGCUCCUCUGCAGCGGUUUAGA